rnacentral:rRNA from 1 species
AUACGGAGGUGGCUAGCGUUGUUCGGAAUUACUGGGCGUAAAGCGUACGUAGGCGGACUGAUCAGUUGGGGGUGAAAUCCCAGGGCUUAACCCUGGAACUGCCUUCAAUACUGUCAGUCUUGAGAUUGGAAGAGGUGAGUGGAAUUCCUAGUGUAGAGGUGAAAUUCAUAGAUAUUAGGAGGAACACCAGUGGCGAAGGCGGCUCACUGGUCCAAUACUGACGCUGAGGUACGAAAGCGUGGGGGGCAAACAGGAUUAGAUACCCCAGUAGUCC